rnacentral:rRNA from 1 species
GCGCCUUCUAGCCAUGAUGGAGGCGCGGCACACAGCUCAGUAGCACGUGGCUAACCUGCCCUUGGGACGGAAGCACCCCCGGGAAACUGGGGCUAAUUUCUGAUAGGUGAAGGCUUCUGGAAUGGACUUUCGCCUAAAGGACGCUUAGAUCAUGCUUCUAGGCGUUGCCCAAGGAUGGGGCCGCGGCCGAUCAGGUUGUUGGUGAGGUAAUGGCUCACCAAGCCUAUAACCGGUGCGGGCCGUGAGAGCGGGAGCCCGGAGAUGGGCACUGAGACAAGGGCCCAGGCCCUACGGGGCGCAACAGGCGCGAAAACUUCGCAAUAAGCGAAAGCUUGACGGGGCUAUCCCGAGUGCCAUCCGCUGAGGAUGGCUUUUCUCUAGUAUAGAUAGCUGGGGGAAUAAGGAGAGGGCAAGUCUGGUGUCAGCCGCCGCGGUAAUACCAGCUCUCCGAGUGGUGUGGACGAUUAUUGGGCCUAAAGCAUCCGUAGCCGGCUGAGCAAGUCCCCUGUUAAACCCACCGAUUUAAUCGUUGGUCUGCGGGGGAUACUGCUCGGCUAGGGGACGAGAGAGGCAGACGGUAUUCCCGGGGUAGGGGUGAAAUCCUAUAAUCCCGAGAAGACCACCAGUGGCGAAGGCUGUCUGCUAGAACGCGCCCGACGGUGAGGGAUGAAAGCUGGGGGAGCGAACCGGAUUAGAUACCCGGGUAGUCCCAGCUGUAAACGAUGCAGACUAGGUGUUUGGACGGCCACGUGCCGUUCUAGUGCCGCAGGGAAGCUGUUAAGUCUGCCGCCUGGGGGAGUACGAUCGCAAGAUUGAAAC